rnacentral:rRNA from 1 species
GACGAACGCUUGCGGCGUGCUUAACACAUGCAAGUCGAACGGAAAGGCCCUGCUUUUGUGGGGUGCUCGAGUGGCGAACGGGUGAGUAACACGUGAGUAACCUGCCCUUGACUUUGGGAUAACUCCAGGAAACUGGGGCUAAUACCGGAUAGGAGCUCCUGCUGCAUGGUGGGGGUUGGAAAGUUUCGGCGGUUGGGGAUGGACUCGCGGCUUAUCAGCUUGUUGGUGGGGUAGUGGCUUACCAAGGCUUUGACGGGUAGCCGGCCUGAGAGGGUGACCGGCCACAUUGGGACUGAGAUACGGCCCAGACUCCUACGGGAGGCAGCAGUGGGGAAUAUUGCACAAUGGGCGGAAGCCUGAUGCAGCAACGCCGCGUGCGGGAUGACGGCCUUCGGGUUGUAAACCGCUUUCGCCUGUGACGAAGCGUGAGUGACGGUAAUGGGUAAAGAAGCACCGGCUAACUACGUGUCAGCAGCCGCGGUGAUACGUAGGGUGCGAGCGUUGUCCGGAUUUAUUGGGCGUAAAGGGCUCGUAGGUGGUUGAUCGCGUCGGAAGUGUAAUCUUGGGGCUUAACCCUGAGCGUGCUUUCGAUACGGGUUGACUUGAGGAAGGUAGGGGAGAAUGGAAUUCCUGGUGGAGCGGUGGAAUGCGCAGAUAUCAGGAGGAACACCAGUGGCGAAGGCGGUUCCCUGGGCCUUUCCUGACGCUGAGGAGCGAAAGCGUGGGGAGCGAACAGGCUUAGAUACCCUGGUAGUCCACGCUGUAAACGGUGGGUACUAGGUGUGGGGUCCAUUCCACGGGUUCCGUGCCGUAGCUAACGCUUUAAGUACCCCGCCUGGGGAGUACGGCCGCAAGGCUAAAACUCAAAGGAAUUGACGGGGCCCCGCACAAGCGGCGGAGCAUGCGGAUUAAUUCGAUGCAACGCGUAGAACCUUACCUGGGUUUGACAUGGAUCGGGAGUGCUCAGAGAUGGGUGUGCCUCUUUUGGGGUCGGUUCACAGGUGGUGCAUGGCUGUCGUCAGCUCGUGUCGUGAGAUGUUGGGUUAAGUCCCGCAACGAGCGCAACCCUUGUUCACUGUUGCCAGCACGUUAUGGUGGGGACUCAGUGGAGACCGCCGGGGUCAACUCGGAGGAAGGUGGGGAUGACGUCAAGUCACCAUGCCCCUUAUGUCCAGGGCUUCACGCAUGCUACAAUGGCUGGUACAGAGAGUGGCGAGCCUGUGAGGGUGAGCGAAUCUCGGAAAGCCGGUCUCAGUUCGGAUUGGGGUCUGCAACUCGACCUCAUGAAGUCGGAGUCGCUAGUAAUCGCAGAUCAGCAACGCUGCGGUGAAUACGUUCCCGGG